GGGGCGAUAGCUCAAUGGUAGAGCAGAAGCCUUUUAAGCUUUUGGUUCCGGGUUCGAAUCCCGGUCGCCCCACCA
rnacentral:tRNA from 1 species